AGAGGGGGCAAGCGUUGUUCGGAAUUACUGGGCGUAAAGGGCGCGUAGGCGGCCUGCUAAGUCGAACGUGAAAUCCCCGGGCUUAACCCGGGAACUGCGUCCGAUACUGGUGGGCUUGAAUCCGGGAGAGGGAUGUGGAAUUCCAGGUGUAGCGGUGAAAUGCGUAGAUAUCUGGAGGAACACCGGUGGCGAAGGCGGCAUCCUGGACCGGUAUUGACGCUGAGGCGCGAAAGCUAGGGGAGCAAACGGGAUUAGAUACCCCGGUAGUCCUAGCCCUAAACGAUGAAUGCUUGGUGUGGCGGGUAUCGAUCCCUGCCGUGCCGAAGCUAACGCAUUAAGCAUUCCGCCUGGGGAGUACGGUCGCAAGG
rnacentral:rRNA from 1 species